UACGUAGGGUGCAAGCGUUGUCCGGAAUUAUUGGGCGUAAAGAGCUCGUAGGCGGUCUGUCGCGUCGGCUGUGAAAACCCGAGGCUCAACCUCGGGCCUGCAGUCGAUACGGGCAAACUAGAGUACUGCAGGGGAGACUGGAAUUCCUGGUGUAGCGGUGAAAUGCGCAGAGAUCCGGAGGAACACCAGUGGCGAAGGCGACACGCUGGGCCGUACCUGACACUGAUGCGCGACAGCAUGGGGAGCAAACAGG
rnacentral:rRNA from 1 species